GUCCGUCACGAGCGGCACCGCGGCCGCGUCAGUAGGUGCUCGUGACUUACGGUCGCCACACGGCACCAGCAAGCCCAGUGUGCAGCAACGCAACUACCAGUACUGCCAGUACGUGGACGUCCACGUUCCCCACCAAGCAGAUUUCCCCACCGUUUGCUUCCAACCCAAUCUGUCUGACCUUUGGCAGCGAGGCCCUGGAGCCAGAGCUCUGCGUUGUCAUGGUGAGCACCGUGGUGAUGCCAAGUCCCACUCUGGCCGGCGCCGCGUCCAUGUUGAUCCAAAACGACACCCAGGACAGGAUGACGGUGAGCAGGCUCGGUCGGGUUUCCAAAUGGAGUCCAGCAUGGAAGGGUCCAGGUCUAGAGAGUCAUCUGGAUAUUCCUUAUACGCCAGCCGAGGGUCGUUCCACUGCUGCCGAAGAAAUACAUUGAGGCGGUAGUCCUGCAGGAAGCAGUUACAGUAAGUCAAAGUGAUGGAGCCGAAGCUGUUGAUGAAGAUGUUGCAGGUGACGUUGACGGGAGGACCUGACAGGAGCAGAUGGACGUUAAACACGAUAGUUUUACUGCGCUCUUUAACGCUACUGACAGUGUUUGUCUAAGGAGGCUGCACGAAGAACAGAGCAUUCCCUCAAAUUAACAUCUGCUUGUUCCCUUCAUAAUGUGCCAUGCUGUGUCCUGAUUAAUACACGUACACAAGAUAACCAGCAUGAAAGUGUGUUGUUCCCAUUAGUGUGGUGCAUCUGUCAAGCACUGAAACUUUAAAUAUUUGAUCAACUCAUUUCCUAAGAGGCUAUAAUUUAUUGAUCUUUUCCUUUAGUUACAUUAGUGUAUUUAUAGAUAAUCAGCUGGGAUUCAGUCAGAAUACUCUGACAAGGAUGUGGAGCAAGUAUGAAAUAUAUAUGAAACGUGACCCCAGAGGCUGAGCGGGAAACAUGUCGGAGGGAAUCUGCUUUCUUUUGUCACAACCAGAGAUCAAGACUGGACGGAACUGGCCUGUGGGUAACAGACAGGGAUAAGUUGACAUUUCUGACAAAGUAAAAUGGGAUCUGAAGGACAGGUCUGUGUGAAAAUAUAGCCUGAGGCUGUGGGUCAGCAUCAAAACAGUAAUUACACAUGACCAAUAAAAGCGGGCUUCUGUGUGAAAACAUCGUCGCCCGCAGCGUCUCUCACUUCUGACCCAUCUGUGUGCGAUUAUUGCUGCCUCGCUGCCCAAAUUGUUGUGCAAAUUGAGCAGCGCGCCCUCCUCACACCUGUCCUGACAGAGGAGGUCCCGCCGUCACACACACACACACACACACACACACACACACACACACACACACACACACACACACACACA